CCCAGUGCCAAUGUCCCGCCACCAUCGUGCUGCCACCAUGCCCAAGAGAAAGGCUGAAGGGGAUGCUAAGGGAGAUAAAGCCAAGGUGAAGGACGAACCACAGAGAAGAUCCGCGAGGUCAUCUGCUAAACCUGCUCCUCCAAAGCCAGAGCCCAAGCCUAAAAAGGUCCCUGCAAAGAAGGGAGAGAAGGUAUCCAAAGAAACAAAGGGAAAAGCUGAUGCACAAGGAGGGGAAUAAUCCUACAGAAAACAGAGAUGCCAAAACAGACCAGGCACAGAAAGCUGAAGGUGCUGGAGAUGCCAAGUGAAGUGUGUGCAUUUUUUAUAACUGUUUACUUCUGGUGACUGUACAGUUUGAAAUACUAUUUUUUUUUCAAGUUUUAUAAAACUGUAGAAUUUUGCUUUAAUUUUCUUAAGCUAUGUUGUUAGCACACAGAACAUGUCAUUGUUGUUUUGGAGGGAAAGGGCGUAUGUCAUUAAUAGAAUGUCUCUAAAGCUGGAUUGAUGUGGGGAAAACACCUUUCCCUUCUAGUUUUGAAAGACUUCCUCUUGGCUCCCAGGAGAAGGGAUUCCCUGACUUUGACACACAUGGCCAUCUUGGCAC